ACCGUUUUAAAUUCUUUUGGGAAAAGCCUCUGAUAAAGGUUGAAGAUGAAGGAGGGGCUGGAAAUUUAGAAAUGAUGAAGAUGAACAUCCGUAGACGCUUGGAGGAGGCAAAACGUGAGCAACAGUACCGGAGAGAAAUUUGCUUACAAGCCCGCGAGCUGAGAUGUGGAAUGGAACAAAAGAAAUAGGUUCACUGCAGUCAAGACCACACAGCUACCUGAAGUUAAAGCAUAAUUUCAUUCCUAAAUGACGAAAUUGAGAUGUAGAUGCUUUAGCCGCUAUCAUGAAUGUUAUAUUCUAUGAAAAUCUAUAAAUUGUUUGAAUUCAAUAAAGGCUGUGGUCCAUAUGGUGAAUAAGUA